CUGUGCCUUUAGGAGAGUUCUGCUGAUGUAUGCACUUAGACAGCUGAGUGCGCAUGCGCCAGACAGAGCUAGCGCGAAGUUGAAUGUAUUCAGACGUGUUGUUAUUCUGCCUUCUUAGUUGAGCAAACCAACGUUUUUCUUUUGUUUUGUGACGGGAACCGAGUGUUUUGUUUCUCCUUCGUUUUUACUCCGUUUAUAUGUGUGUAUGCUGGAUGUGAUUGCUGAAGAGGAUCAAAUACAAAGGCUUUUUUGGGAUAACUUGCUGUGUGCCUCGAGUGUUUAUUCCCUUUUUAAGUCACCUUGUUUUUCUCCGGGUCAAACCUAACACUCCGACCACGUUACAAUAUGUAUGACUUUAUUCCUAAAUGUGUUAGGAGAAGAACUUAAAACUCACCCUCCCUCAGAAUGAACGUUCGCCAAUGAUGUUAUCUACAACAUCACGCGCGCACACACACACACACACACACACACACACACACACACACACACACACACACACACACACACACACACACACACACACACACACACACACACCCCUGAGCGGACACGUACCCCCACAUGUAGGUAAAAAAAAAAAGGAGAAUUUCCGAAAAUUUGGUUAUGUCUUCAAGUCUUUGGAAAUCCAACAUCAGAACAGAACUUCUAUAUCUCCUUCUAAACAUUAAGAGAGCAUUGCAUUUUUAUCAGAACAAGACCAGCAUAUCUGACACGAUUGUCUAUGAAAACGUAUCAAACAAAACGAGGUCCUCCAGGACAGUUGUAUUGAGAUUAUUUACGACAGCAAGUAUCCCGGAAUGUACAUGCGAACCUAAGAACGGUGGAACAUCAUGGAUCAGAUGUUUUGUGUGAUUGUAUAGCUCACUAUUUGAAGACGGUUCACUCUGAAAGUCAAACACUUGAUAAAAAAAGAAAUAACAACCUCCAAGAUCCAAAUCAAUCAGCACAUUCAGAGACUUUGACCAAUAAAUAUAUCAAUACUUCACUUGGAGGCUGUGGUGGGACCACAUUGAACCCAUGAAGAUCGUUUUGGACUGCAAUUAAAUUUCAAUAAAAAAAUAAAAUGACUUCCCUAGUUACACAGUUGCACUUUUUUGCACCAUAUAGCCACAUGACUCACCAUCAUUAUUACCUCACCAUCUCUUCCAACGAAUGCUGUAUGCUGACAACAGUGCCACCUGCUGACCACAAAUAGGUACUGUUUGUCCAAUAAAAAUGCGUAUAACGGAAAGAACGUGUAAAAUACGCACUAAAUGGAUUUAUUCUGCUGGAAAUUCUUGUACUUUAUUAGUGGAGUAAAAUGCUUUCAGUCUUCAGAAGUCCAGAGGCUUUUGACAGUCCAUGAGGGGUCUUGUGUCACCCAGAUGAGGAUGGGUUCCCUUUUGACUCAUUA